GCACGUUCGGGUGGGGGCGGGGCGGGACGGGAUUGAUGUGCAGCGGAAGCAGUAUCGGAAAGCACCCAUCACAUCUGUUUUUUUUUGGAGGCUCUAGUCGCUGAAGGUAGGCGGCAGGCGGCUGUCGCCGAUUCCACGGUCGGAUCUUCGUCGCAGCAUUUUUUCCAUCAUGCUGGAUAUUUUGGUUUUAAUGUUUUUCGCCGUUAUUGGCCUGAGCUUCCUAUCUUAUAUUAUUUACAUGCUUUGAGGAGUUGGUCGACACUGGGUGAUCGCGAGAUCGCUAGAAUGACAACCACUGAUGCGCAUUGGGGGUUUUUUUUGUCAGUUUUUUUUCGGGUUUUUAGCAGCGUAGCUCCCCUAGGCAAAGGGUAGCGACAGCACCUGGCUGGAUGACCAGGUGGGGGGAGAGGGAGGGAUGAGGGUCUCGGCCUACAUGGGUGGAGAGGCAGCCCUCUCUCCCUCCCUCACCCCCUGAAGAUCCUUCCCCUCCAGGACCUACAAACGGUUCCCUCCUCUUCAGCGUACUCACCCGUAACCUCAGCCCGUUCUUUGAGCUCCAUCCUGUCUUCACGCGUGUGGCUACAGUUUCUGCACAACAUCUGUACACUACUCCGGUCCCGGCGAGCCGAUGUGUGUCCCGGUUUUUGUUCCAACCAGACGGCUGAACACACGGCGUUGGUUCCCUCCUGUACACACUGGAUUAAGCGGUUUGUGCUGAUUAAAUGGUUUAGAGCAGCGGUUGGUGUGAAAUCGCGAAAAUGGUCGGACUUCGCUGUGCACCACUUCUCGUUUUGCUUCGGUAGCUAGCCUUCGAUUGUUUUUUUUUUUUUUAAGCUGUCGGUGGGAGAGUCCUGCUGUCUGUUGUGUUGUGUGAAGGGGCGGAGACCACAAACACAGUUUAAGUAAACAACCACACCAUAGAGGCCACACAGGGCACCUCUGACCACAGCCUACACAGUAGAAUCCGAAUUUGUGAUACUGAACAGUGUAAUUCCAUUCCUCUUACUCCGCAACUCGUUUUCCAUAAUGUGCUUUUCCGUUACCGUGAAUGCACACUGCAAGUAAGUUCAUAGCCUGAAAGAUGAAUUUUUAUGGACAAUCUAAGCGAGCUACAUUGGAUCCUGUCGUUUUUAUAUGACUGAUGCACUUUAUCACUCAGUUGAGUCUGCUGUUAGGUUGAACAGUAAGUCCAAAUGGCAUUUUGUUUUAUGUUUUAUUGAAAAGCUGGUGUAAUGGGGUAAGGUUGGGGGGGUUGGGGAGCUUCUGCAAUGUUCCUCUUCUCCAGACAGGGGGGUCUGACAUUGUUUACCCAACCGCUGGAUUUCUGUUUCCUGUCCUGUUCCCUCCACUGUACAGGUUUUUGCCAUGGCUGGGAUGGGAUUGCUCAGUGAAACAAACGUAAUGCCAUUUGCAGCUGUAGCAGGAAAUAUAGUUUUGCUUUAAAUUUGCACUGAAUGAUUCAAUUUCAUUCCCAGUUUUUUCCAAGCAUGUUUGAGUAACAUCGUGUAGGCCUAAUUUAUGUAGUAUGCACUUCACAUUUCCCCUCUUGUCCUAUUCUCUCUCUGUCAUUCCUUCUAUUGAACAUAAUAAAUACACAUUCCAAAAUAACAAUUUCACAAAUUUCUCAGUUGUAUUAAAUAUACAGUAUAUUUUGUACUGAUAAGCACAAAUGUUUUACAGUAAUGAGUCCUUUUUUGUGAUUCUGACCCUUUGACCUGUCUUGACACACAGUGGCUUGUAAUAAAUCAAUUGAUCAAUCUUUAUUUAGUAUUACUGCCUUUUACAGUCGUGGUUUUCAAUGCUUCACGUUGGAUAUCUUCCCAAAGGAAAUAAAACCCCCUGGUAAAGGA